UGCGUAGGCGGCUUUUUAAGUCAGAUGUGAAAUCCCCGAGCUUAACUUGGGAAUUGCAUUCGAUACUGGUAAGCUAGAGUAUGGGAGAGGAUGGUAGAAUUCCAGGUGUAGCGGUGAAAUGCGUAGAGAUCUGGAGGAAUACCGAUGGCGAAGGCAGCCAUCUGGCCUAAUACUGACACUGAGGGGCGAAAGCAAGGGGAGCAAACAGGAUUAGAUACCCCGGUA
rnacentral:rRNA from 1 species